UUUCCAGCAGCCGCGGUAAUACGAAGGGGGCUAGCGUUGCUCGGAAUCACUGGGCGUAAAGCGCACGUAGGCGGACUCUUAAGUCGGUGGUGAAAUCCUGGAGCUCAACUCCAGAACUGCCUUCGAUACUGGGAGUCUCGAGUUCGGGAGAGGUGAGUGGAACUGCGAGUGUAGAGGUGAAAUUCGUAGAUAUUCGCAAGAACACCAGUGGCGAAGGCGGCUCACUGGCCCGAUACUGACGCUGAGGUGCGAAAGCGUGGGGAGCAAACAGGAUUAGAAACCCGAGUAGUCC
rnacentral:rRNA from 1 species